CGGAGCGGGAGGGAGCGCCGGGCUGGCCAGUGGUGGUUUCUCGGGCAGCCAAGGGGAGGUGUCCUCCCGGGCUCGGUGUAGGCCGGGUGGUCGCGGGGAGCUACCCCGCCCCGUUCCCUUCGCUCCCGCCUCUCGCGGCCCUUGUGCUCCUCAGCGCCCGCCCCCGGCUCCGCCCGCCGCCGCCGCCGCCGCCGCCGCCGCCGCCGCCGCCGCCGCCGCGGCAGCCCCUCGCGCUAACGGUCGGUAGCGGCCCGCGCGCGCCGCCCGCCGGGGGCUUGCGCCAGCCACGAGGCAGUGUCCGCCGUCCGCGCGCUCGCGCGGCGGAGGAGAGAAUCUACAGUUCAUAAUGGAGCUACUGUACUGGCUAUCGGAAGGAGGAGAUUCGGAAGAUAGGGAGAUUCAGCUAUCGGGCUUUGAAACUUCCUGUGGUCUGUUCAAUCUAGAUGCAGAGGACCUGGAACAGUCAAGUGCUCAAGAGGUUUAAAUUGUUUUGGAUAUUCCUAUUUAUAGACAAAAAUAUUUUUCCAAUUCAGAUCCUCAGUUGUUAUGCGGAAGAAAGUCAUACUCUUCUUCACCAUCCAUUUUAUUUGAAAUGAUUAGUAUUGUAGAGUAUCACCAAACAUUUUCUGUUUGAAUCAAAGUAUAGAAAAAAAUAAAAUCAAUUCUAU